UUUUAUUUCUUUCUUUCGUUUUUCUCUCUCUAGCUCUCCUUUGUAAUAUAUUUAGCAAAUAAAUAAAAAGGUUCUAGCCGCAGUUUGGAUACUAUUCAGGCCUUGUACUACAACUAUUUUAAGAUAUUUAAUCUUUCUUCUUCUAUUGUGCUUUUAAUACAACUUCUUCCCUCUUCCAGCCGUGACUAUGUCCGACUAAAAAAGCCUUUUAUAUCCAUGUUGAAGAUCUAACCUCAUUUACGUGGUAACUAUGAAAGAUCCAGACUCUAUCAAAAUGUGAAUAAAUUUUUCUAUAGUUUUUCGACUUGGUUUCAAAAUGGUGGUACAGUCAAGUUUAAUAAACUUAUGUUGACUUUGUCUCAGUGACUACGUCUAGUAAGUUGUGCCUCUUUAGCCCGUUAUAAUGAUGAAGAAAGGGUGACUUUUUGCACAAUUAGAACUUCUAGACACAUGGGUUAAACAUAAGUCUAUUGAAUCUUUGACAGACCCCUUGUUUGGGUAAAAGGUUUCAUGCAGUUGUUAAGCUAUUUGAAAAUUCUUUUAUAUUUUGAUCGGUGCUUUGGUUCGGUUUUUCGACUAUGGCUUAAUCCGGUAUUGUUAUAAAGGUCUGACAGGCUGAGCGGCUUAUCCCAGCCAUGUGAGAUCCUGUAAUAAGAGUGAUCAAUUAAUUAUAUAAUUGAUUAUCUUAAUAUACUAGAUUUUGACUAAAUCGUUCAUCAAUCGAUCACUACAUGAUACAUAUAUAUAUAUAUAUGAACUCUUGAAUGCGUAUAUAUAUAUAUAUAUAUAUUACAUCCGCAAGUAUAUUACU
rnacentral:lncRNA from 1 species